rnacentral:misc_RNA from 1 species
CCCCACCAUUUCUUUCAACAAGGCAAAAGCUUGAUUGCAUUUGCCCAAAUUGAAAAGACCGUGAAUUAAGCAGUUGUAAGUGAUGAUACUAGGUGGAAUACCUUUAUUCCUCAUUUGAGAGAAGAGGUCUAAAGCCUCAAUAACUAGCUUAUCCUUGCAAAGAGCGUCCACAAUUGCACUGUAUGUCACAACAUUUGGCUCACAACCUCUCUCACCCAUUCCCUUUAGCAACUUAAUAGCCACAUUUGUUUUCCCAGAUUUACAUAGAGCAUUUACUAUCACAUUGUAGGUAUAAACAUCAGGUUGAUAACCUCCAGCAACCAUAUCAUUGAAAAAAUCUACUGCUCCAUUGAUUUUACCAUCUAUACAGAGCCCUUUAAUUAAGGUAGUAAAUGUCACAGUAUUGGGCUCCAAUCCAAAUUUGAUAAUUUUCCCCAGAAUUGAGAAGCCAAAAUUCACAAGGUGUAAUCGGCAGAAACAGUCAAUCAAUAUAGAAAGAGAGUAAAUAUCGUGUGAGAUUCCUAGAGACUCAAUUGUUCUGGACAAAGAAAUAACCGUGUGAUAUUGUUUCAUUCCCACAAGAGCAGAUAAAAAUCGACAAAAUUGAACAAUAGAAGGCAGAGGAUUCAUAAGAAUGAUGUGAUUAAAGGUCGCUAAGGCAUCAUCAACGUCCCUAAAAGAAGAAGAAUUGAACUUAGAUCUCAAGAAACGUUGAGAUUUUGCAUCUUUAGGAUUAUGCGUGGAAGCAGAAGAAUGGAAGUAAUUGGUAAACAAUAAGGAUGGAGAUUGAAUGAUACCCAUUUCCGUUUGCAGUUGAAAGCGGAAGAACCUCUCAGUAGUUGUGAAAAUCCUCCGCGCCGACAUUAUCAUCUUCAGAGAAAGAGAGACGGCUCUGUAUGUUUAGGGCGAAAGAGAAAGCGUUCAGCAAUUAUUUGUAAUUUAUAGAUAUCUUUAUGAAAACAGUAACUUAUAUUGCAUUUACUAUUCAGUUAAAUAAUAAUUCAAAUUGUUUCAAAAAAAUAAUAAUUAAAAUAAAAAAU